AAACCACAGUAUUUUUUACUUGUACAGAUUAGCUACAAAUCUGAGCUCUCAUAUCCUUUUUGAUUUACUUAUUCAAAGAUCAUUGCUAACCAAAUAUCCAAUUUUGUUAGGGUUGAUGUGGCUUGCAGGAGACAGAGUCUUUAGAUUAAUGAAUCAAAUGAAAUGGGUGGAUGCUCAUCCAGUGACAUCCAUCGCAGAGGAAGAAAGAUUACACCAGAAGUUUAAUGAGAGUGAAACAUCUAAUACUUACAACAUCCUUCAAACAAACAUCCACAUCCAGCUGCUAGGACUAUGGUGGAUUUGAUACAGAAGAAGAAAAGAGGCAGUUCAUUUGCCAUUAGUGUUACUGGGCAAAAGACUUGGGACAUGGCAAAGGACUGUCUGCAGAGCCCUGCUUCACCCUGGGAACUUCAGGAUGGACUAAAGGCCUCACUUCCAGUCUGGCUCCUCAGCAUUGGUCAGUAUAUUAAGCAAGUCAAAAAGUAAGGAAGAUUGAUAGAAACAAGCUUCUUUGCUGAAGAGUAUUAGAAUGGAGCCAGCACUAUUCUCACUUUUGACUAUGGAGUGGGAUUGUGAAGAGAUGAUGCUGUUUAGGAAAGGGUCCAACACGUAUAAACAAUUUGUCACAAGCAAGAGACACUUUGACUGAAAGACUUGGUUGUGCUUUCACUCAGGAGGUCUAAGCCAAAGGUCUUCAGCAAUCAAAUAUAGAACUAGUGUUUAGUCUGUUAGCACAAUUUCAAGAGUCAACUGACUAAUGAAUGUCAAUAUACAAUUAUGUGGGAUGCCAACAGUCUGCAGCUCAGCUUGUGCUGUUCAACUUUAUCCUGUACUUAUAUAACAAAUGAAUGCAGAAAAUCAGCUACCUAUGACUAUUAGAGAAAUCCAUAAUGGUAGUGGCAAAUUUUAGAAUAACAAGGAAAUUUUCUGUUGGAUUUAUUUUAUUGUUGAAGUGUUUUCUUGUAGACCAGUAUUACUCAGCACAGUAAAUAUGUGUAUACAUCUUUAAUACUCUUCAAACUAUGUAAUAUUCUUGCAUUAAAAAUAGCCCUAUUACUUCAUGGCAAGCCUUGAAGAACCUGCAUAUCACAAUUGCUGUGAGGGAAAUCCCUGCUGUAGUAUUUUGUGUUCAACACAUCUGGCUCAUGUUUUUCUGGCAUCGUGAAAAGAUAACAUAAGGGGGCUGAAAAUGCACGUGGCAGUGAAAAUGCAUUAAGAUGGACAUUUACAUAAUUAUUUCAAGAGUAUUCUCAGAAGAAAAACUGCAGGAAGGAAAGCAGGUCAAAUGUUUAAAAUAUUGGAAGGGUAAAAAGGUCAGAACAGUUCUGUGCAGGUGGACUGUAAUCCAGCAAAACAUUUAAAACACAUGCUAGGGAGGAAGCCUCUUGCUGCUGAAAGCUUCAAAGAGCAGCUCCAAAGCACAUCACCUCACUCCCAGACAGCUUUUUGCCAUAAAAUAAUUAUGGAAAUAUCUCAGGGGAAAAAAUCUUUCCUGUAUUUUUUCUGCUUUUCCUUUCUCCUGGAUUUUCUCAUAAAAUGAUAUUAUGAUGUACCAACAUAAAUGAUUUAGGAGGAAGUGGGAGUUUUUUCUGAAAAUACAUCUCUAAAAAACCCAAGUUUAUCCAUCAAAACCUGCUUAUUGUCUUAGUUAAUUUGUUUUUUUUUAAUGUUUGUUCCUUACUAAUUCUUCAAUUAGGUAG